GCUAGUUCGAUCUCGUAAACCUGUUGUUCCGUUCUCGAAUCGCUGAGGUGCUUUGUUGAUCGCGUAAGCCUGUUGUUCCGCUCUGGAAGUCGCUGAUGUGAUGCGUUAGGUGAAUUACGUCGACGUUAUACCGUGUUAUGGUUGAUUAUGAUGUUUUGUAUUGACUAUCUUUCAAGUGUACAUUGCUUGAAAUGGAUGGGAAGGCGGUUACCAUGUCGGAAAGAGUAGAAGACAACGACCUUCCGGUUUGAGCUCAUGCGUCUCCCAUAUUGUCUGGAUAGUGAUGUGGUUGGGUUUGAUUCGCUCAGCAGUUAGUCUAUUGUUCCAUUUUGAAGAAAACGAAGGUUAUCCUAUCUAGCAAUCUUCCAUCGAAAAAUUGACAGUGAGUUCAUUGCUGAAUGUUACACAAGGAGGGCCUACAUAUCAGGUUUUACGGGCAGUGCUGGCACUGCUGUCGUCACCAAGGAUAAAGCAGCUCUGUGGACAGAUGGACGUUAUUUUCUUCAGGCUGAGAAUCAGCUAAACUCCAGUUGGAUUCUCAUGCGGGCUGGUAAUCUGGGAGUUUCAGAGGUGCAUUACUGCCGAAUGGAUGGAUAAUUCUCGAAUUGAGUCUCACCUUGCCACAAUUCUGGCCGGCGGCUUCUUGAGAUGAUAUUCGUGGUUUUCGGUUCAUGCAGUUGGUUUGUACCCUCGCUGUAUUACUUGCCUCAUAUAGUGAUUCUGAUUCAACCGGAGUUCGUUGUCCUUUGUCUAUAGACUUCAUAAAUCCCU